GCAGCACUCCAGGGGAGGAAAAGAAGGGAAAACAUUCCCGUAAAGGUUACGGUGAGUUCUCGCUCCCGUAACUUCUCCGUCCGAGUUCCGAUCGCCGCACUGUUUGCCGUCACGCGUUCACUGCGUCGAGCUCUACGUUUCUACCGGAACAAUUUCUUUGGAUCUAAUUAGCUUGAGAAAAACGUUCAUUCUUGCUUAUGUGAAGCUUGGGUAAGGUUGUGAAUAAAUAAUUGGAGCUUGAAAUUGUGAAUAUUGGAACUUGGAGGAAGCUGAUUAGUUGAAUUUUGAAGGGGCUGCCUUGCUUUUAAAUAAUUUGCUUUGGUCGUUACGUGGAAAUCGGCCAAGAUGCAGAUCGAGAGGCAUCUCGUUAGGCGUCUGGACUCUUGAAGCGGAGUGAUUACUGGGUUAUUUUGUUAUGCUAUGAUGUAUAUUUAUGUACUUAGCUUUCUCUCCACAUAACUUAUUCUUUUUGAUCCUCCUAGAGGUGUAUGGAGAGGCAGGAUUUUGUAUAUGUACAUUUGGG